UACGUAGGGUGCAAGCGUUGUCCGGAAUUACUGGGCGUAAAGAGCUCGUAGGCGGUUUGUCGCGUCGUCUGUGAAAUCCCGCAGCUCAACUGCGGGCUUGCAGGCGAUACGGGCAGACUUGAGUAGCUGCAGGGGAGACUGGAAUUCCUGGUGUAGCGGUGAAAUGCGCAGAUAUCAGGAGGAACACCAGUGGCGAAGGCGGGUCUCUGGGACGGUACUGACGCUGAGACGCGAAAGCGUGGGGAGCGAACAGG
rnacentral:rRNA from 1 species